UAGCAACCAAGAAAAACUGGAAGCAAUGACCCGUUGUGACAUUUGAUGGACACAAAAAUCUGUCAGCCAGACACAAAAGCAGGUAGUCCUGCGUCUUGUAAAUGGCUCUGGGUGAAUCCAAAGAACUGCAUGUGAUUUGUCAGGCGUUUUUAAGAUAAAUGGUAAAACUGAACUGGAAAUCCAUCUGGCCAGCUGCCUGAUCUAAUGAAUAACCCCACUUUGGCUCCUGCAAUGUAAGCAGAAAGAGUUCUCUCCCGGCCGCUUUCGUCUGUCAUGAAUCUACAAGACAGCCGACAUAAUAUCUGGGCGACAACAGCGUGCUAACAGUGCAGUGACUUCCAUUUUCUUUGCUUUCUAUUGAUUUUCACUUAAUAACUGGCGAAAUACUAAACGUCCGCCCUGAGUACCUAAUAAAUCCUGCCUGAGCUUUUUAUUGAGGAGAAUU
rnacentral:lncRNA from 1 species